UACGUAGGGUGCGAGCGUUAAUCGGAAUUACUGGGCGUAAAGCGUGCGCAGGCGGUUUUGUAAGCCAGAUGUGAAAGCCCCGGGCUCAACCUGGGAAUGGCAUUUGGGACUGCAAGGCUUGAGUGCGGCAGAGGAGACUGGAAUUCCUGGUGUAGCAGUGAAAUGCGUAGAUAUCAGGAGGAACACCGGUGGCGAAGGCGGCGUUCUGGACUGUAACUGACACUGAUGAACGAAAGCCAGGGGAGCAAACGGG
rnacentral:rRNA from 1 species